rnacentral:lncRNA from 1 species
AACCAGAAGGCUUUGGACAAGUUGGUGAACUGUGAUGGAAUAAAAACCUCCAGCUUGAGAGGAGGGGAGAGAUGUGAGGUCUACAGGCUCUGCCUUCUUGCUACUGUGGAUAACCUACAGAGAUCCGUCUGUGCCUUGGCUGUCCAAUGGAGGAUGAGAUCAUAACUUCCCCCAAUAAGUUCUUUGUGUGUGCUGUAUGUGAGUACAUGUUUGUGUGGGUGUGUGUGUAAAAAUGUACACACGUAUAUGGAAACCAGAGAUGCAUGCCGGGUAUCUUCCUCAAUCACUUUCCACCUUAUUUCUUUUUAGAUUUAUUUUAUUUCAUGUAUAUAAGUGCUUUGCCUACAUGCAUAUGUGUGUUCUAUGUGUGUUGGUGGUACCUGCAUGCAUAUGUCAGAUGAGGACUUUGGAUCCCCUAGAACUGGAGUUUAUGGUUGGCUGUGAGCCACAGUGAGGGUGCUGAGAACCUAACCUGGGUUCUCUGUAAGAGCAGCAAGUGCUCUGACCACCGAGCAAUCUCUUCCGCCCUCCACAUUAGUUUCUGAGGUAGGGGCUCUCACUGAAGCUGGAGCUCACUGAUUUGGCUAGGCACUGGGGAACAGAUGCAUGCAGCCAUGCCUCACUCCUAUGUGGGUGCUAGGGUCCUCAUGCCGUCACGGCAGGCAUCGUACUGACUGAGGCAUCUCCCAGACCCUUCUAGUUUCUUGUGAGGAUUAAGUGACUGACACAUACUAUAAGUACAAAAAUAUUUGUCACAACAACAACAACAACGCCCAAUGUCUUAAUAGUAAAGACACAAUUUUCUAAUUCUAACUGUUUCGUGGUGGUUCUCCGCCCUGGUGCUGAGUGAGAGGAAUUGGGAGGAAGGCACUGGACUUCUCCAGAAUGUCAGACUGAGUCCUGCACAAAGGUCUUCUGAGAGCUGCUGGGGGAUGGGAGGAGUGCUCUGUCUGGAGGGGCUGAAGACUAACCCAUUGUUUAGCUGUGCCUUUAUCCCACAAGCACAAGGGGCAUCAGGAAAUAAGGCUGCUUUGUAAGAAAGUUCACUUUACUGACACUACCCUCUCUGGCUUGGAACAAAAAUAAUAGGAGCUCAUUCACAAAACAUCAAUUUCUUCAGCAUGCUGCCCCUGGCACUUGCCUUGUGGAUCUGUGGCAGAGUGCAUGAAGAGAGAAUGCUAACACCACCAACCUACAGGCAUGGCACACUCACGCUGUCUCACAGCUGACAACAGUAGAACACACAUAUAAACCAGGAUCACGCACAGCCAAGCCUCACACACAUGUCAUCUCACAUCAUCUGAGUGAUGAUCAAAUGGUCAGACAGGGGCUCUCAUGAGUACUCAGUAGGACAAGCAUGCUGAUGGGGGGAGGGGGGGCGGCGAGUUUCUCAAAAGCCCAGGAAGGAAGCCGCCCAGGCUGUGCUCUGGCUCAGGGAUGGAUCUCCAGGGCCAGGCCUGAUGCUCUCACACCUCAUGCCAUUGCCUCUGAAGGGCCUCUCUGCAGACAGAGUAUCAGCCCCAUGUGAGGAUGGAGGGGAGGAAAGCGGUGCAGACUGAGGCUCACACAGCCCUUCACAAUGAAGCUGCCCUUGACCCUGCCCUUUCAACAUCCUCAGUGCUGCCUUAGCCUCUUCUCCUCUGAGCAGCUUUUAUUCCCAGACCUUCUCAUCUGCCACAAGCCUUUGACUGGCAGCCGCAGUAAAUGAAUACCGCUGAAGAGAGAUAAGAGCAGGCAGAGACUAUGGAGAAGAGAGCCCACCACAAAGGAAGCAGAGUAAUCAAGCAUGGAAUGUCCUCGGUUGCUCUGUCAGCAUUCUGUAUGAGUCUUCAAGGGGCUCUGGAAAUGCCAGCAGCCAGAACCUGACCCAGCUCAGACAGCUGGUACAGAGAGCUCAGAGUUCUUCUCAUAACUGAUGCCACUUUUGUUGGGUUCUAAAAGAAACAUGCAUGUCUCUGCUCUGAAAGACACCACCUGCGCCUCCCAAAUCUGCUUUAUUCCAGCCACGCGGUCCAGGGCUUUUAAAUUCUGCCAAUAAUCUUGGCUAGGGCUGGUCUAGAGCAGUUGAGUAGGGUGACAGAGCCUCACAACCGGAGGGCCCGGAGUCAAGUCCCAUGAGUGCAGGUAAAUGGGCAAACACCUGAUCCAGUCACUUAAAGCUCACAGAAGCUGGAGACUCCACCAGCAGACAGGGCAGGAUUUGGGUGCAAAGCACCGAGGUACAGACUGCUCCCAGCCUGUUCUGGCAUGUGAAUAAUAGCCAAACAGCAGCUAGGGGAAGAGGCUGUUUACUUGAGUUCAAACUAUUUAUAGCAUCAGCAAUCUGCACAUAUUUGGAUGACAAAUCUCUGGGUUUCAAGUGAGCCGAGCUUUGCUCCUGGACAAUUUCAACAAACACAUUCCCUCCCCACGCCACCCCCAGGUCCCCCAACACGUGUUGCCCUCAGGAUGUCUAACUUGAGUUGCCGAGCUUCUAAAGAUUAUAAAAAGAAAUCACAUUUCAAGAGCA